GAAUCAUGGUGGAACGAAGAGCAGGUGUUUUUUCUAUUCUAUUUUUAUAAUGGGGUUUUCCCCCCUUUCUUUUUGCAAAAAUCAAAGCUGAUGAUUUUAUUAAUGCCAAAAUAAUUUGCCCAGAAUUGUACUUUUUCUUGGCUCAUCAGUCUUACUUUUUAUGUGAUAAAGAAGUCCACAUAUCACUUGAGCUCAAUCUUUGAUUGUCAUUUUAAAAUGGAUAAGAAUUUGUCCUGCUACUAUAUGUCCAAAUUUUUUUGCUUGAGUCUGAAAUUAUUGUAUUUUUCUGCACAUUAUUCAUUAUGCUAAAAGAUAGGAGGUUGUCUUCUGAAAAAGGUUGUCUUGUGUUGGAGCUGUGUCUUUCUACUACCUUG
rnacentral:misc_RNA from 1 species